AUUGUUCUUCUCCAUACAUUAGUGUCGAGUAUCCCACCUAUCAAGCUAAAGAAAAAAGGUAAGAGUCAACUCUUGUGUAGAUCACUUGGUCUUCCGAACAGUAGCGUCUCAUAUUUAAGCAUUUCAGCAAAGCUAGACAGGCCAUCUACCUCAGAGCAGAGCUGAGGUACAAUACGCUGAACAGCAUGCCCUUAGAAUACCAAAGGCCAAUGCUUAAGAUUGAUGAUUCAUGAAUUCGACAAUUCACAGCUACUUAUGCAUUCGUGCGUUCUUCAUGAUGCCAGAAACCAAAAGAUCCGUUGUUGAAAGUGUAAUUAUUAAUUUGUUACUGACGCUGAUUGCAAUUACAAAAGGUUUAUGUUUGUCCUAGUGGUGGCGAACCCACCAAGGAAACAAGAAGUACGCAAAAGACAAGGUGAAUAAUUCAGCAAGGCGUAACCCCCGAGAGGUUCCAGCCCGCCUCCAUAUUUGUGUAAUGAAUUUUCCUUCCGUAGGGUAACCUGCGGAGGGAUCAUUACACAAAUAUGAAGGCGGGCUGGAACCUCUCGGGGUUACAGCCUUGCUGAAUUAUUCACCCUUGUCUUUUGCGUACUUCUUGUUUCCUUGGUGGGUUCGCCCACCACUAGGACAAACAUAAACCUUUUGUAAUUGCAAUCAGCGUCAGUAACAAAUUAAUAAUUACAACUUUCAACAACGGAUCUCUUGGUUCUGGCAUCGAUGAAGAACGCAGCGAAAUGCGAUAAGUAGUGUGAAUUGCAGAAUUCAGUGAAUCAUCGAAUCUUUGAACGCACAUUGCGCCCUUUGGUAUUCCAAAGGGCAUGCCUGUUCGAGCGUCAUUUGUACCCUCAAGCUUUGCUUGGUGUUGGGCGUCUUGUCUCUAGCUUUGCUGGAGACUCGCCUUAAAGUAAUUGGCAGCCGGCCUACUGGUUUCGGAGCGCAGCACAAGUCGCACUCUCUAUCAGCAAAGGUCUAGCAUCCAUUAAGCCUUUUUAUCAACUUUGACCUCGGAUCAGGGAGGGAACGUGAAGCUG
rnacentral:rRNA from 1 species